rnacentral:rRNA from 1 species
UACGUAGGGUGCAAGCGUUGUCCCGAAUUAUUGGGCGUAAAGAGCUCGUAGGCGGUUUGUCGCGUCUGCUGUGAAAACGCGAGGCUCAACCUCGCGCCUGCAGUGGGUACGGGCAGACUAGAGUGCGGUAGGGGAGAUUGGAAUUCCUGGUGUAGCGGUGGAAUGCGCAGAUAUCAGGAGGAACACCGGUGGCGAAGGCGGGUCUCUGGGCCGAUACUGACGCUGAGGAGCGAAAGCGUGGGGAGCGAACAGG